CCAUAUAGUAACUAAUAACACAUUAGCUUUUGAAAUUUGCUGUAUUGAUGUAUUAAUGUACUCAGGUGAAUAAGAUGCUUGUGUGAUAUACACUCAGAGUAACAUCACACAAGCACAUUAGCUUUUAUCAUCAUCACAGUCCACUGCCUUCAUCUACGUUACUGGGAUCUAUCCAUUGAACUAGAUCUACCUCACUGUUCUCACAAUUGCUGCAUUUGCAAAGUUUAGUGCACUUUAAUUUAAAUUUGCUUUAAAAAAUGAGCAUUUUGUUUGACAACCCUAUUUGCAUUUGUAGCUAACAAAUUACUGACCAGCUUGGCCCAUACCAUCUCGGCCCAAUAGUUAAUAACUACUGUUUGACAUAUUGGGGAACUAAGGAAGCUUAUUAAUAUUUUACAAAAGGCAGCAACAAACCGAUACAGCCAUUUGCAGUUGCAUUGGG